rnacentral:rRNA from 1 species
GCUUAUCACCAUUCCAGAUUGAAUAUACCCGAUCUCGUCUGAUCUCGGAAGUCAAGCAAUCUCGAGCUUGGUUAGUACUUGGGAUGGGGUGACCGCUUUGGGAAUACCCAGUGUGAUAAGCA